rnacentral:rRNA from 1 species
UACAGAGGGUGCAAGCGUUGUUCGGAAUUAUUGGGCGUAAAGCGCGUGUAGGCGGCUUGGCAAGUCGGGUGUGAAAGCCCUCAGCUCAACUGAGGAAGUGCGCCCGAAACUGCUGAGCUCGAGUACCGGAGAGGGUGGCGGAAUUCCCCAAGUAGAGGUGAAAUUCGUAGAGAUGGGGAGGAACACCGGUGGCGAAGGCGGCCACCUGGACGGUCACUGACGCUGAGACGCGAAAGCGUGGGUAGCAAACAGG